CUUAAAUUGUAAGAUUGAUGUAAC
rnacentral:siRNA from 1 species